rnacentral:snRNA from 1 species
AUACUUAUUUUGUCAGCACCUGUACUAAAAUUGGAAUGAUACAUGGAAAGAUUAGCAUGACCCUUGCACAAGGAUGGCAUGAAAACUUGUGAAGCCUUCUAUAUUUAU